rnacentral:rRNA from 1 species
ACGGCCGCGGUAUCCUAACCGUGCAAAGGUAGCGCAAUCACUUGCCCCCUAACUGAGGGCUAGUAUGAACGGUUAAAUGAGGGCCUAACUGUCUCCUGAAGUCGAUCAAUGAAUUUGAUUACCCAGUACAAACGCUGAAAUAUACACACAAGACGAGAAGACCCUGUGGAACUUUAAAUGCUCGUACUAGCAGGCCCCCCCCCCA